AUUGAACGCUGGCGGCAGGCCUAACACAUGUAAGUCGAGCGGAUGAAGGGAGCUUGCUCCUGGAUUCAGCGGCGGACGGGUGAGUAAUGCCUAGGAAUCUGCCUGGUAGUGGGGGAUAACGUCCGGAAACGGGCGCUAAUACCGCAUACGUCCUGAGGGAGAAAGUGGGGGAUCUUCGGACCUCACGCUAUCAGAUGAGCCUAGGUCGGAUUAGCUAGUUGGUGGGGUAAAGGCCUACCAAGGCGACGAUCCGUAACUGGUCUGAGAGGAUGAUCAGUCACACUGGAACUGAGACACGGUCCAGACUCCUACGGGAGGCAGCAGUGGGGAAUAUUGGACAAUGGGCGAAAGUCUGAUCCAGCCAUGCCGCGUGUGUGAAGAAGGUCUUCGGAUUGUAAAGCACUUUAAGUUGGGAGGAAGGGCAGUAAGUUAAUACCUUGCUGUUUUGACGUUACCAACAGAAUAAGCACCGGCUAACUUCGUG
rnacentral:rRNA from 1 species